rnacentral:lncRNA from 1 species
AGGGAUCCGAGCCACGUCUGUGACCUACCCCACAGCUCAGGGCAACGCCGGAUCUUUAACCCACUGAGCAAGGCCAGGGAUUGAACCCACGUCCUCACGGAUGCGAGUUGGGUUUGUUAACCCCUGAGCCACCGUGGGAACUCUGGGAUGGAUUUUUUUAAUUUCCCUUUCUUCAUGGCUGGAACCAUACCUCCCCUGGGCUGGACUUGCUGUUCAAGCAUCUGAGGAUGCUGAAUGGGUCGACGUGGAGCUUUGUCUGUCUGUCUGUCUGUCUGUCUGUCUGUCUCUUCUCCUCUCUCUCUCUCUCACGCACACGCGCACACACACACGCACACACAGAGUGUCUUCCCUGAGACCUGACCCUUCUGACCUUAGCCCCGGCCCCCGCCCUCAGAUCGGCAGGCCUUUGCCGCCUCAACCAGCAAUAACCCUUCAGAGCUUUGCAUCCUGGGCACCAGCCUUCCAGUGGAAAGUAAUUCAAUCCGACCCGAGAUCUUCACACUCAAGAAACUUCACGUUCAGAAACUGGUUAGGAAAGUCCACCCACAGGGCUGCGGCUGGAUCUUAGGAAAGAUUUUUAUGGCCCCAGCGUGACAUCGGAAAGCACCCCACUGGCAGGUGGGACUUGAACAGCUCUCCGAGGAGAGAGCGGCUUCCUGCGCCAUCGCCCCGUGUUUAAUUACACAGUCAUUCAGGCCUGAAAACAAGUGCAGGUAAUUAUUUAACACCUGUUCACGGGACGGUCGCCAAGAAGCCCCCCGGAGGACGGUGGCGAGGGUAACAAGGCUCCGAGGGAGAUGCCCAGCAGGCAGGAAGGCUGGCCGGCCACCGCCCCAGGCGCGGAAAUGGGUGAGGUUCAGAGGGCCAGCCCAGGACAGUUCACUGCUCACAGCCCAGCAAGCAAGAGUGUCACGCCGUCCCCCUGAGCCCAGGUCCCAUGGGAGCCCAGUUGGUGGCCAUGCCUGCAUAUGUGGUACCCCAGCCAAGGAACCCGGAACUGAGGGCCCAGCACUAAACAGGUGCAGUCACCUCAACCUUCCUAAUUGUCUGCGUGACUCUGACCAGCCCCAGAAAUGGCCUGACACUCAGCAAAGACAGGCGGUGAGACCGGGGGCCCGUGGCUCACUGGUUCUGCCCACAGAGCCCCCCCAUCAGCCUAAGAAAUAGUUUCCAGACACAACUGCAGCUCCCUGGGUGGGCUUGUCUCUUGAAUUGUCCUGAAUUAGUACCUGCGUGCUUUUCUAUUUUUAGCACACAUGUGUGGAUCUAUCAUUUGAUGCGUCUCCCAACUUCGUAUAAAGAGCAUCCUCCUGGCAUUUCCUCUGCCCUCCUCUCUUAAGGAAAUUCACCCAUGUUGAUGCGUGUAGCCAAAAUGCUUUCAUUUUUCAUGGCUGGGUAAUAUUCUAUCCUGUGAGCAGGCGACAUUUUUUUUUUCCUGUUGCAGGCCAUUGAGGUUGUGACCAUUUGUUUGCUCAUACCAACUGCCCUGCUGUCACUGUUCUUGAACGCGCAUUCUUGCACACACUUCACAGGCUUUCUCUAGGAUGUGCUUCUCAAAGGAAGAGCCUCAAACCAGCAGCUCAGCAUCACCGGGGACCUGGUUAGAAAGGCAGGUUCCUGGGCCCCAUCCAGACCCGCUGAAUCACUACAGGUGUGAAUGGUGGUGAGUGGAGGCGUGAGAGAGUGGCUGACCCAUCGAAGCCCAAGAGGAUCUCCUGUGCUGGGGGCGGGGUGGGGGGAGGACAUCAACAGGACGUCACAAUGACGAACCACCCAAUUAGUGAUCCGAGUGGACCUAUCUCCAAAGAAGAUAUAUGAAUGGCCAGUAAGCCCCCGAAAAGAUGCUCAACAUUGUGAGGCGUUAGGGAGCUGCAAACCAAAACCACAGCGUGAAGCAACACAUGACACCCCGUGGCAUGGCUCCAAUCAGAAAGAUCCUAGCAAGGGUUGGAGAAGAUGGGGAGAACUUGGGACCCUCAGACUUUUCUAGGAAGCUUGCACAAUGGUGCAGCCACUUUGGAAAACAGUCUGGCAGCUCCUCGAAGAGUUAGAGUUAGCCUGUGACCUACAAUUCCAGUUUUAAGUGGAUAUACCCAAGAGAAAUGAGAAACAGACAUUCACACAAAAACUUGUUGACACAUGUUCGUAACAGCAUUAUUUAGAACCGCCAUAAAUAAGAACAGCUGAAAUGUCCAUCGACUGAUGAAAUGGACAAAACAAAUGUGGUCCAACCAUGCAGUGGAGUAUUAUGCAGUCGUGAAAAGGAAUACAGCACCAACACAGGCUGCAGUGCAGAUGAACCUUGAAAUCAUUAGGGUGAGUGAAAGAGGCCCAGCAGAAAAGACCUCAUCAUGUAUGAUUCCCUUUACAUGAAAUACCCACACAGGACAUCCAUAGAGACAGAAAACAGAUCCGUGACAACCCGGGAGUGGGAGGAAGGAGCAAUAGGAAGUAACUGCUAAUGCGUUUAGUGUUUCUUUUUGAGGUGAUGAAAGUAUUCUCAAAACCAAUUGUAGAGAAGCUUGCAGAACUCUGCAGAUGUACUAAAAACCAUUGUAAUUAUGCACUUUAGAUAAAUGAGUGUAGGGUAUGAGAAUCAUACCCUAAUAAAAAUAUUCACAGACACACACACAUAAAUAUUUGUGAACUACUCUGUUUUGGGGUGGACUGGGGAACAGGAGGACUUUGUGACAUGUACAGGACACAGUCCGAGUUAGACACACCUGGAGCCUGGUCCUCCCCACCCUGGAUGAGUCCUAUCAGCCUAAAUGAAUGCCUUCUCUGCGGGUCACCUCUCCUCCUCCGCAGAGGAGGUGCUCACAGAGCCCAGCUCAGUCUCCUGCUGUGCGAGUUCAAUGUGAUCGUGGGCUGGCACUUUCCCCAGGACCUUGGCACAUGCUUCCAUGUCCCCCAUUCACCUUCUAAUAUGGCCAGCCGCGGGCUGAGGACCACUCAGGACCCAGAGAGAGCUGUACCCCAGGGUGAUAGCCUGGAAAAUCCCGUCGGAGCAGAGGGGGUGGCAAACCCUGGCCCUCGGGAUACGGGAUGAGGUUGAAAGAAGCCCCCGUGCCUAUUAACACUGGUUCCUGACCCACAGCUUGACCCCACACCCCAGACCGGCGAGGGUGAGCGAGAGCCUUCCAAGCUCAGGGACAACCGU